rnacentral:lncRNA from 1 species
AUGCUCGUGAUUUACACAGCUUUCUUAUUCUUAACUUUUUGCACCACAGAAUCUAAAAAGUCCCAUUCGUCUUCAUUGUGGUUCCCAUUUAAGCAGCUGCAAGGCACUGGUGUGUGGGGAAAGUGUGGCAGGAAAGAAGGGAUCUGGGAACACUGUAUCCAGACACUUAAUGCAAACUGGUCUACUGGACAUUACAUGGUGCCAAAGCCAGAUACUUGAGAAUUUAACCCACCUAAGGCUGUCUUUACAUUAGUACAUUGCUCACCGCUUCAGCAGAAAGCAUAUUGGACAAGGUCACCUGCUAAAUAACUUGGCUCAGGACGUCAGAAAAUAAGCCACUGACCUCCAAACUGAGAAGAAUGAUGAUGAUGGUGAAAGGAUAAGCCAAAAAUGUAGGUCACUUUGAUUCUUGAUUUACUGUCACUUCCACUUCUAAUCCACACCAAGUUUACCUCUUAAACUUCCCUUAUAUUCAUGAAUGUCCUUUCAGCACACCUCACCAAUCAUCAUUAAACUCUUUGAAUCACUGAAACACUUUCUCAAUGGUUUCUUAGAGUCUAGCUCUCCUGAAAUUAAUUUUCACAAUAGCAGUCAAAUAAUCUUCCAAAAAAGUUCAAAUAAUAUCGAAUCUCUCUCCCUGCUGCUAAAAAGUCUUUUACACCACUUCCCUUAGCCCUAAUGACAAAUGGAUAGGUUUGUUUUGUUUGUUCAUGUUAGACUUUGUCUUUCAUAUCGUUGGUUUACCUCAACUUUCUCGAGAUUCUAUAAAUGAUGAACUAUAUUGAAUAGCACAGGUAGCUGACACAUAUUCUGUUUGCUUUUGUUCACUACCAUUUCCCCAUGAGGCCUCUCACCUGAAAGAGAAGCCUGACUGAAGGUUCUGUAUAAGUGGGGGGAGUCAGGGGAAUGCUUUCACAGCCAGUCUCUUUGAAGUGCCCCUGGGAAAAAUUGCAGGUUUCAGAGUAGGAGCCUCCUACAGGCUGUAGUCCAGUGCAUUUUACUGCCAAAGGAAGUGCUCGUCUGCCUUUUAUUUUAAACUUAUUUUGCAUGGGGUGUGUGUGUGUGUGUGUGUGUGUGUGUGUGUGUGUGGCUAAAAUCAUGUUAAGAUGUGCUCCACUUGUCUGUCAGACCCUGGCAUCUUCACAAAAAUAACUGUUAUAAAGAUCACCCACUUGCACUUGAUUUUGAGAAUAGUCCUUGGGCUUAAGCCCUGGAACAAAAGCCUUUGCUUCCAAACCAUAGCUCUAUUUACACUUGUAUGGAAAGGAAGAGUUCUACUGUCCCGGCUCUUUGGAAAAUAGUUUUUUAAAUAAUGACCCAGGAUUGCCCCCUCGCCUAUCCCUGCCUUCUUUAUUCGUUGAUUCACCUUCGAGGUCUCUUGUGACUUUUGCUAAAUUUCAUCUUCUUUUAUUUCCCUACCAAUCAUAAUUUCAUUUGUGCUAUUCUCACAAGUUUUUAUUAUUUAUUAACUUAUUUAUUUCAGAAAUUUCAACUUUUACACCCAAAAAGAUGGUGUAGAUUAAAUAUAGAUUAAAGGGUACAUGUGCAGGUUUGUCACCUGGGUAUAUUACGUGAUGCUGAGGCUUGGAGUCCCAAUGAUUCUGUCACCCAGGCAGUAAGCUUGGUACCCAAGAGAACCCCUGCUCACUUGCCACACUCUCCCAUCUAGUAAUCCCAAAUGUUUAUAAAAUUUUGAUUCACUAAUGGUAUACUUUAUUUUUGCUCUCCAUAGUGUAAUGUUCUCUUUCAUUUUAAUUCACCAUUUCUGUCAAUUCAAGGAGAAUUUGAGGCAAAGAAAAUACAGACAGAUUUGAACUUACUAGAUCAAUUUGAAUUAGAAGCUUAAGUUUACCUUUAAUGUUGUUGGAAAAACAGUUUGAGUAAAUUAAUAAUUUGAUCAUUAAAUUAUAAAAGACAGUUGUAACAUCUAGGAAAACUUACUCUUUUUAG